CGGAGCUAAACAGAAGCUUAGCUGACUGAUAACAGCAGUCUGUCUGCAAGAGAAGCAGAACAGUAUGGGCCACGUGGCGCCUGAUGCCACAGAGAACCUGAAUGAUCAGACGAUCCCAACUUUGCACCCUGGGUCUUAUAGGUGGAUUAUUUACACUUUGUUUGGACUUGACAUUAGCAUUUACUGCAUGUAGAAAACCAUGAAUAUGAAGUUAGCUCAAAGGAGUGCACGCAUGCCUUUAGCAAUCAAAGCAGAGACACAAAGGCUAUAAUCACAUUCCAUGUGGUUACAAAGCCGCUGCUGCGGCGGCAGAGAUAUUAGCAUUCACUACACUAACUUGGAUUUUGUUUGGUCUUCAUCCUGUGGGCAAAAAAAGGAGGUAAAUGGAGAAGACAUGAAAUGAAAAAGGAUUAGGAACAAACCAGUUUGUGGGGAAACUGGCAGAAUGUGCAGGUCAAGGCACAAACAUGCACAUGCAACAAAGAAUACACUUGGACAGUGACAUUUUAGAUUAAGGAAAUAUCACAGAACCAUCUACUCUCAUGGAAGCAACGUUGAGAGCAGUGGUUCCCAACCUUUUGCCUUGGAGAACAUUUGUAUUUAUGAAAGGCUGCUUUGGGCCUGCCCUUCUUAUAAUUCCUGACCAAUGUUCUGUGUGGAAAAAUAAAAACCCUACAGAGGUUAUCAGCGUCAAUGAAGCUGUUUUACUGGUUGCUAGACACACAGUUUGACAUUGUGUAAUUAUGAUACGUGAGCUUGUAAGGUGGAACCGUCAGAAAAACAUGACGCCAUUUGACGCAUAUGAUUGUGAUGGAUUGGAAAAUUUGGAACAGAUUCUCAAAUGGAACAGGUUCUGGAUUCCCAUCACUACCCCAGCCCAUGCAAAUGCACACACACAGUAAAAUAAUAAUAAUAAUGUGAUUCACUCGAUGUUUUUGGCAAAAAUUAACUAACACAUAAUUUUAUGGGGGUUUUUUCCCCUCUUUUCUCUUGGGUUCAUCCAAAGAAAACAAAUGAUCUUUUCAUUACUACUGAUUAUGUAAUAAGUGAGUUACUCUAACUUUACAUAAUGUGCACUUGUAAUUUUGCAGCCUGACAGCAGACAAAACAUCACAACCCCUCUGUGACCUUUGGUAACUGUGCUGGCCAAUAGAUUCCUGAGUUCAAUUUGUAGCAGACAAGAAAAUCACUAAGGUCCCUUGGGCAAGAUCCUUAUCUCAAAGUUAUUCCCGGUGUGUAGUAGAGCGCUUUGUGUGGCAACACUCUGACAUAAUUGUGUGUGCGCAUGUGAAGCAUCGUUGUAAAGCGCUUUGAGCAUCUGUAUCAGAUGAAAAACCAGCAUAAAAAUGAAGUCCAAAAUACUACCCAAAUAUUAACAAUAAACAAAAGCUUUGAAAUAUCUCAAAUUUAGUGUGACAAUGCACCUGACAGUAUAUUACAGUCCAUUUUGAACUGUGGUAUUUGUUAAUUACAUUUAUAGAAAUCACAGACCAGUUUAAUUUGCAUAUUCACAAGUGCACAAGACCACUAGGCAUGUCUGCUUAAAGCCAAUAAAAACACGAGUAGCAAAUUAUUUAAAUCCCGCUGAGUAUCGUUUCUCAACUAGUGGGCCAAACCCCAUUAAUAAAAGGUCAGUCCAGCAUAAUUUAUCUCCAUUUUUGUUCUCUAGAAUCACACUGCUGGCCUGUAUUUCACUUAAAUAGAAGCCACUGCUACACCAGUUGUGCUUUUUGGUCAAAAAGUACAUUUUGGAGUGUAGCUAUUCGGACUGGGGUUUUAAAGAUAGUCUAGCAUCAUUUAACACAUUGCCUGGAUUCUUCGACUCCACCCGUUUGCCGCGGAUCCGAUUUGGACUUCUUUCAUCAAUGCAGCUUUUGUGAAAACCUAAGUGAUGGGUUGUUUCAGUGUUACUUUUUCAAAUGAGACACAUGCCAUAUUUUGGGUUAAAAUGAAACAUGGGGUAAUGUCAGAAAGGAAGAAUGCAAUAUUUCAAUCACUAACACAUUCCUUCAGGUAGAGCGCAAGGCAAAAAAUGUCCACUAUGCUGAGGCAUGGCAAUUCAGACAGUUAAA